UGACAUUAGGAGCUGGGAGGAACUAGCUGU
rnacentral:piRNA from 1 species